CCUGGUGGUCAAAGAGGAGGGGGUACGCCCGACCCCAUUCCGAACUCGGAAGCUAAGCCCUCCAUCGCCGAUGAUACUGCGUACUCAUGCGUGGGAAAGUAGGUCGCCGCCAGGG
rnacentral:rRNA from 1 species